rnacentral:rRNA from 1 species
UACAGAGGGGGCAAGCGUUGUUCGGAAUUACUGGGCGUAAAGGGCGCGUAGGCGGCCUUCUAAGUCGAACGUGAAAUCCCUGGGCUCAACCCAGGAACUGCGUCCGAUACUGGAAGGCUUGAAUCCGGGAGAGGGAUGCGGAAUUCCAGGUGUAGCGGUGAAAUGCGUAGAUAUCGGCAGGAACACCCAGGGGGGAAACCAGUCGACUGGGCAUCUACUGACGCUGAGGUGCGAGAGCGUGGGGAGCGAACCGG